GCUGGGGAGGCGCGGGCCCCGCGAGUGCAGGAGAGCCGGCCCGGCCCGGCCCGCUGGGCAGUCCCCAGUCGCCGGCCGCACGUGCUCCCUGGAGGGCCUCCGAGCCCCCCAACCUAAGCCUGUAGGCGCCAAGCCUCUUCCGUGCUCGCACCCGCUCCGGGGAAGAGGAAACCCAACGCCCCACCAGCUCGGCAGGUGCUGGGGACACGUGGAAAAGUCAGCCUGGCUCGGGCAUCCAACCCCAGCCGUGUGGUGGCCCCAUCUUCCGCAGACUGUGUUUGCGCGUGUCUCCCUCUAUCUGUUUCACGCAUACACGCAGUUGUAUCUUUUCCGGGAGCAAAGUGCUGGACUGGGAAGCUUUGGAUAUAGCUGAAGAAACAGAAAGUUCCUCUGCAUUGGGCUCGAGUGGGCUGAAACAGCAACAGCCACAGGUUAGCCUUGUUAAGAAAGAAUUCGCAGAAAGGACACACCACCGCCCUUCGAAUAAGCUCUUAAAGCACCCAGCGCACUGCUGUUUACAUAAGAUCUGUUACAUGAGACAAUCAGCUCAUUGAGUUGGAAACAGCUUCUGAAAACUCGCUUGCUGGGUGAAAUGGAAGAGGAAAGCUAACAGAAGAGCACCACAGAAGGAAAAUCAGAUGUAACAGCAUUCUUUCCACUUUAUUCAGCUCUGUGAUAGAGUGAGCCUGACUUCCAUACUUCACAAGUUCUAUUGUUCCCUUCCCCUAGUAUUUCAAAACUUCCACUUUUAGAGUUUAUUGCAGCAGGAACAUUCCUUGGAGGCAGAGCAGGGGGCAAAUUAGCUCUCUUAGCUUUAUCACUGAACUAACUGCUUUAGAAAGCAGCCUGAAAGCCUGAAGUCAGCAGAGGGGUGGAGUUUGAAGCGCCCGGCUUUCUUAAAGGGCCCACGUCAUGGUAAGCUUAAGAAUGUAUUGGUCUUCAAUAGGAUUUGCAGGAAAUCUGCAUUUUGACAUGGUACUUGUAGGCAAUAAUCCUGUUUGGAAGACUUUAGAGGAGAAGUCAUCUUCUAAAGCUUCCCUGCUGAUACAAAUGGGAAUAAAUUGGAGAAUUUUUUUUCA